rnacentral:rRNA from 1 species
GAUCCUGGCUCAGAAUCAACGCUGGCGGCGUGCCUAACACAUGCAAGUCGAACGCGAAAGCCCCGCAAGGGGCAAGUAGAGUGGCAAACGGGUGAGUAACACGUGGGUGACCUGCCUUCGAGCGGGGGAUAACGUCCCGAAAGGGACGCUAAUACCGCAUGACAUCCUGCCUUUGAAGAGGUGGAGAUCAAAGCCGGGGAUCGCAAGACCUGGCACUCGAAGAGGGGCCCGCGCCUGAUUAGCUAGUUGGUGGGGUAACGGCUCACCAAGGCGACGAUCAGUAGCCGGCCUGAGAGGGCGGACGGCCACACUGGGACUGAGACACGGCCCAGACUCCUACGGGAGGCAGCAGUGGGGAAUUGUUCGCAAUGGGCGCAAGCCUGACGACGCAACGCCGCGUGGAGGACGAAGACCUUCGGGUCGUAAACUCCUUUCGAUCGAGACGAAUGGCCUCCGGGUGAACAAUCCGGAGGAGUGACGGUACCGAGAGAAGAAGCCCCGGCUAACUCCGUGCCAGCAGCCGCGGUAAUACGGGGGGGGCAAGCGUUGUUCGGAAUUACUGGGCGUAAAGGGCUCGUAGGCGGCCAACUAAGUCAGACGUGAAAUCCCUCGGCUUAACCGGGGAACUGCGUCUGAUACUGGAUGGCUUGAGAUUGGGAGAGGGAUGCGGAAUUCCAGGUGUAGCGGUGA